GUGCACCUGUUUAUAAAUUGAUAGUGUUAUUGAGUGAUGAGCAACAUUAAUGGAAAGUUUUCCACUAAACAUAACAUGAUGAUAAUAAUGAUGAUCCUAUAGAUAGCUGAAGCAUUUGUUAAAGGAUAUAUGAAACAUACACAAUUAGAUCCUUUCCAUAUCUGAAUCUGACAUGAAUUUGAACGCGUAACAAAAAUUCAACACUUAUAUCACAUGUGUUACUGAUUUUAUAUCCUUGUCAUAGAUCGUAUUUACGUCAUUUGUGAUGUCCAUGAUUCUUAGGCUGAAGGGACUGAGUUAUGAGGAGUAGUGAUGGACCAACUGGAGCUUUGAGACAGAUAGUAUGACAACAAAUAAUCCAAGUUCCUUUUUUGAUAGAAAAAUAUUACAUAUAGUUGCAUGUGGUAUGCCUCAUUUCCAUCUGUUCUAUUGUCAAGGCUGUUAUGAGAAUUGUUAGAGUUGAAACCUAUUCCCGCCUGCUCCUAACAAAAAUUCAAAGGUAAGACAUGGCUUACUUACCACAUAAGCUAUCACGAGUGAAAGUAAGUGUCCCAGCAGGUGAAUGUACACGAUCCCCUCCUUUUGGACCCCAUUCAACGAAAGUGUAGGACAGAAGUUGAACUUACCUCAUUCCAAGACUUUCCUAGCGCCAGACGAGGGUAAACUGGUGCAUUUGGAUUAGCAAAAGCUAUUUUAUCCGACACUGCCACUAGCUUUGGCUACCAAAGGUAAAUUGGAACAAAUAAGAGAUUACAUUUAGUUAUAUUAUGAUAGAUGUGAAAAUCAGAAAGCUUCUGAAUUUAAAGCAUUGUUGAAUUUGAAGAAUUGGAGAAUCUGAUCCAAUUUACUGAUUA